GGCAGAGCAGCCAGCGCGUGGAAGGGGCAGGCAGCACCCAAAGGCUGAUGUCUCGCUGCGGAAGGGAGUUUGUUGCAAAGGCUGAGCAGCUCCAAGCCGCUCUCCGGAGGGGCAGAGCACAGGUUCCUUGCCUCACCAGCAGGUCCUUGUAGGAUUUCAGCUCUGGGCUGUGUGUCUGGGGCUGAGCCAGGUGCCCCCUGCUCCGUGCUGGGUCCCAUGAGACGGGCGGGACCCCCCUGUCCCUCGUGCCCGGGGCCGCAGCGCCCGGCUCUGCCCCCGCUGCUCGGGACCCCCUGCCAGCCCCCACAGAGGAGCUGCACGGAGCUGCUGCCACGUGCAUGAGUGGAAAGCAGAGGAGAGGCCAAAGCCCAGUGCACACCUGGCAUCUGAUCCCCCAGCAUCCUGCCUUCAUCUGACCCAGGUAGGUGCACCUGAGCUCGGAGCACUGCUGCAUGUG
rnacentral:lncRNA from 1 species